rnacentral:rRNA from 1 species
GAUGAACGCUGGCGGCGUGCCUAAUACAUGCAAGUCGAGCGAACAGACGAGGAGCUUUCUCCUCUUACGUUAGCGGCGGACGGGUGAGUAACACGUGGAUAACCGACCUAUAAGACUGGGAUAACUUCGGGAAACCGGAUCUAAUACCGGAUAAUAUAUUGAACCGCAUGGUUCAAUAGUGAAAGACGGUUUUGCUGUCACUUAUAGAUGGACCCGCGCCGAAUUAGCUAGUUGGUAAGGUAACGGCUACCAAGGCAACGAUGCGUAGCCGACCUGAGAGGGUGAUCGGCCACACUGGAACUGAGACACGGUCCAGACUCCUACGGGAGGCAGCAGUAGGGAAUCUUCCGCAAUGGGCGAAAGCCUGACGGAGCAACGCCGCGUGAGUGAUGAAGGUCUUCGGAUCGUAAAACUCUGUUAUUAGGGAAGAACAAAUGUGUAAGUAACUAUGCACGUCUUGACGGUACCUAAUCAGAAAGCCACGGCUAACUACGUG